AAAUAUUUACAGCAGCAGAAGCUUCCAGAAUCUUCAUGUCUUCCUCUUACAGUCUCUCCACUAAACCUUUCUAGGGUUCAUAUUUGUUCCAAGAUUUCUGGUUGUUGGUUUUCACUCUUCUAUCCCUGCUCCAUUCUCGAGGAUUCCUCUCAGAUGGGCCCGUAGAAAAGAUAGUUAUCUGUAAAUAUUACUGCUGAGGAAAUCCUUUCUUCAGGAAGCUUAACCAAGAGGAUGAUGAUGUAGAAAGAGCAGAUAUCAUUCCAUUCUGACUCUUCCAUGUUUGAAGGCAUAGAAGAUUACUCCCACCAAAUUGGAGGGAUGAUUGGGCUAAUAAAUGCAUCCAAUCUAAUAUCAUACAGGAGAACUCUGGCUCAGGUCCAUCUCUAUACAGUAAAGGUCAUUAUGUCAAAUCUCAAUAUUAUCAACCUCUUGACUGCAAUCAUUGGAACAAAAAGCUCUAGGUGGGUACUUGUGGAAGAGAGGACAUGGCCUUCUAGAGCUAACUUAAACAAGAGUGAACUUGAAGUAUAUGAUCACUGAGUUCCAAUGAUGACGAUCCUUUGCCCUCAUAUAACAUGUUACAUGUCACAAUUGCACUAUUGCGGCAGUAAAACGACGAUGGUGCGAUAUUUGUUCUAACCCAGUGAACAUGUCGGCUAUGUGAACACUUCGCAGACAAUAAUGGUAUAUGCUCGAGUCUCAGAUCACGUUUGGGGCAUUUGAUAGCAUAUAACUUAAGUAGGCAACAAUAAUGGCUUUGAUAGCAGCAUAUAACCUAGGUAGGAAGAUUUGACAACUAGUCACAUCCUCGCAUUUUACAUUUUGGGGCAUUUUAGUCUAAGUGGGUGUAGACAUGAUUUUGUGACUGAUCAUACACCCCCUACACCCCUUUACUGAAACAACAAGAAUAAAAAUAAUAGGAGCCUACCUAACAUGAAAAUAAGUAAAAACGAUUUAGAACGAGCAUGCAGCCUUGGACAACACGUCUUGGAAAAAGCAUGAUCAAGGCAUCUGACACGUAGUCAUAGGCAACACGUUUUGGACAAGCAUAAUGUUACAUAUAAUAUGGUGCAUGCUGAUGGUAUCUUGUCCCCCUUGAAGCUCCUCAACAUCGUUGCUCCAUGCUUUAUAUGUUAACUGAGAUUGAUCGGUUACUCGUCUUGAGGUAAUCAAAUAAAAGUUUAUUUCUGGUUAGUUUUAGUCAUUGAAUAUAUAUAAUCGUAAGUGAUCCAAUCUUGUAAUGAUGAAGGUAGAUGAGAUUCCAUGAAAAAGUUGAUAAAGCUUAACCAAA